UAUAACAGUGUAAUCCACAAAUAUUUGUCAAAUUCCACAAAAACUGCAGGCAUUGAAUCGCUCAAGAAACCAGUUCUGAAAUAGUUUGAAAUUUAUUUCUUGAGCAAGGAAUCUCAGUUUGUUGCUAAAUUCAUGGAUCAUCCGUCUUGUUCUCUCUUUUGAGUUUAUGCAAACUUCAGUAGAGUGGUUCAAAGAAUACUCUCAAGUUCUUAGGUUUGUUUUUAAUUUGCCUAGUGUAUGUUAAUUUAUUUGUCUCUAAUUUGAUCUUUGAGUUUUGUGUUCUCUCAUAUGGCAAAUCCUCUUUCCUUCUUAUGAAGUAAUUGACACUACCUGCUGACAAGAAUUUAUAUAUAGUUCAGUAUCUCUUGUGAACCCCUUAUUAUCAAUAGGUUUCAAGCACAAUAUCGUAGAAGGGAUACUAAAAAAGCACCUAAUAGAGUAUAUUGUAAAGCAUAAAAAGAAGAAGAAGAGGAAAUAGCUUUGUGUCUGCUGAAGAUAUGCUUAGAUAACUGAAAUUUCAAUUCUGGUCACUUGUGAUAAAACUAUAGAGAAGUGGAACACAGUCUCCUUUCUGAUUGCUGACUUAAUCUUCCCACAGUCAAAUAACACAUAUUUUAGAAGCUGAAUUAUUAUGAAGAAAGACCUGGAAAGCAUUUGAUAUUUCUCCAAAUGUUUAUGGUGCUGUCAUUUUCUAUAGGAUGUUGUUUUGGCAAUGGUUUUGAUGAGAACAACUCCUCUUGGUCCAAUACUGGAGAAGCUAAUUAAAAAGAAGCAUUCUGUUAAUUUUUGGUUGCUGAGUUAACACCCAUUGUUGCUCAGUAAAAGGCUGAUGGAAUGAGAGCAGUGACUGCAGUGUUUUAAAGUAAAAUUGUUUGAGACUACUAAUUGUUUUUUUUUAUGCAGUCCUCCAAUCUACGACAUGGCGUUGGAGAUGGCGUUCUGUCACCAACUGGGCCAAGAAGAUUCUUUGACGAAAGUAACUAUGAAAAUGGAGCAAAUGACAAUUAGUAAUCAUUGUUAGGACGAACUAUGUUUUUUUUUGUGUUGAAACUUAAACUUGAAUCUUGGAUGAUGUUGAUUUUGGG
rnacentral:lncRNA from 1 species